rnacentral:rRNA from 1 species
GACGAACCAGGCUUCGGCCUGGGGCAGAGCCGCGAACGGGUGAGUAACACGUGGGCAACCUGCCCUGUUGAUCGGGACAACCCGGGGAAACACGGGCUAAUACCGAAUGUGGGUCCGGCUCAUGAGAUCCGGCACGAAAGGAAGCUUCGGCCUCCGCGACAGGAUGGGCCCGCGUCUGAUUAGCUUGUUGGUGAGGUAAUGGCUCACCAAGGCUACGAUCAGUAGCUGGUCUGAGAGGAUGGCCAGCCACACUGGGACUGAGACACGGCCCAGACUCCUACGGGAGGCAGCAGUGGGGAAUCUUGCGCAAUGGGCGAAAGCCUGACGCAGCCAUGCCGCGUGGAUGAUGAAGGUCUUAGGAUUGUAAAAUCCUUUCACCGGGGACGAUAAUGACGGUACCCGGAGAAGAAGCCCCGGCUAACUUCGUGCCAGCCGCCGCAGUAACAC